rnacentral:rRNA from 1 species
GACGAACGCUGGCGGCAUGCUUAACACAUGCAAGUCGAACGGAAAGGCCUGCUUUCCCUUGUGGAUUGCGGGUACUCGAGUGGCGAACGGGUGAGUAACACGUGAGUGAUCUGCCCCCAACUUGGGUAUAAGCCUGGGAAACUGGGUCUAAUUCCCGAUAGGACUGCAGGGUGGUGCCUGUGGUGGAAAACGAUUUUCUAGUGGUUGGGGAUGAGCUCGCGGCCUAUCAGCUUGUUGGUGGGGUAAUGGCCUACCAAGGCGGCGACGGGUAGCCGGCCUGGGAGGGUGGACGGCCACAUUGGGACUGAGAUACGGCCCAGACUCCUACGGGAGGCAGCAGUGGGGAAUAUUGCACAAUGGGCGGAAGCCUGAUGCAGCGACGCCGCGUGGGGGAUGACGGCCUUCGGGUUGUAAACUCCUUUCGACCGCGAGGAAGCCACCUGGUUGGAAGGGUGGUGACGGUAGUGGUAGAAGAAGCACCGGCUAACUACGUG